rnacentral:piRNA from 2 species
UAGAUGCAGUGCUGGUCCCUUAGACUGCAAC